rnacentral:rRNA from 1 species
UUUUAUGGAGAGUUUGAUCCUGGCUCAGGAUGAACGCUGGCGGCGUGCCUAAUACAUGCAAGUCGAGCGAACGGAUGAGAAGCUUGCUUCUCUGAUGUUAGCGGCGGACGGGUGAGUAACACGUGGAUAACCUACCUAUAAGACUGGGAUAACUUCGGGAAACCG